GAUGAACGCUGACAGAAUGCUUAACACAUGCAAGUCAACUGUGGCGGACGGGUGAGUAACGCGUAAAGAACUUGCCUCACAGAUAGGGACAACAUUUGGAAACGAAUGCUAAUACAUGAUACUGUGAGAGAGCUGUGGGUCCCAUUAGCUAGUGGGAGGGGUAACGGCUCACCAAGGCGAUGAUGGGUAGCCGGCCUGAGAGGGUGAUCGGCCACAAGGGGACUGAGACACGGCCCUUACCCCUACGGGGGGCAGCAGUGGGGAAUAUUGGACAAUGGACCAAAGUCUGAUCCCGCAAUUCUGUGUGAACGAUGAAGUUUUCGGAAUGUAAAGUGCUUUCAGUUGGGAAGCAGUACCCACAGAAGAAGUGACGGCUAAAUACGUGCCAGCAGCCGCGGUAAUAC
rnacentral:rRNA from 1 species